CUUGAGGCUGCCCAGCCACAGCGGCUGUUCUGGUGAGCGGCCCACGCCAUAGGUGCCGAGCAGCGCCUGGGCCUC
rnacentral:antisense_RNA from 1 species